UACGUAGGGUCCGAGCGUUGUCCGGAAUUAUUGGGCGUAAAGAGCUCGUAGGCGGUGUGUCGCGUCGGCCGUGAAAACCUGGGGCUUAACUCUGGGCUUGCGGUCGAUACGGGCAUCACUGGAGUUCGGCAGGGGAGACUGGAAUUCCUGGUGUAGCGGUGAAAUGCGCAGAUAUCAGGAAGAACACCCGUGGCGAAAGCGGCUCUCUGGCCCGGUUCUGACGCUGAGGCGCGAAAGCGUGGGGAGCAAACAGG
rnacentral:rRNA from 1 species